rnacentral:lncRNA from 1 species
AAGAGACGCAGGUGCUGUAUGCAGACAUGUCUGUGAACCUGGGGCUCUUGGGCAGCAACACGUUGCAGCUUCCACCUAGCAAGCCACGCCGGGACCAGGUCCCAUCUGAUGGAGGAGAAUCAAUUCAAGGAGAUGCCCUUCCUUUACAGAACACCCUUUAACAGCAUCCAGGAGGAACGAGAGGCUGCAAUACUGAGGCUUUCAAAGUACUCACGAGGAUGUCCGAGAAUGGCUGUGAUGCCAGGCUUCUGGCAGGUUCCAGACUCCAUCACAAGCCCAGCAUCCCUGCACCAGAUCUGACAUCGCUGCUGUUGUGCCAGCUGUUUAUGAAGGGCCUGAGUAGCUAGCAGGUUUUUAUCAGGAGCCCUGCUGGGGGCUUAGACACCAAAAGAGAAGACUCAUCCUCUGUAGUUCUUCUUGUGAAUGUCCUUUUAGAAAAACAAUUAGAACCAACCACAAGCACCAAAGUCCUAAUGGGAUCUCCUGCGAGCACAUAUCAAGCAGGAUUGUUGCUAUUUCUCCUCACUGGCUCUUUGGACAGACUGUGUGAGCUCCUGGAGGGUUCCACUGUAUCUACCCUUUGACACUGACCAGUUGGCACAUGGUGACAUAUUCCAAUGUGUUGAUUGCAAAUGUGAACGUACAGCCAGUGCUGUGUGCGGGAGGACUCUCUCCUCCUCAGUGGGGCCACACCGUGCACUAUUAAUGGAGCCCCACUCCUUUGCACAGCCUGGCCAUGCAGUGGCUCAUAUUGAGGUUUUAGCCAACUGAAAUCUCCCGUGCAUUUUUCUGACAAGCCAGCUAGGCCUCUGCUAUGCUGUCCUUGUGUCUUUCAUUUGAUGACCUUAAGGGUGGGACUGUUUUAUCUUAAGUUACAGGUGGUCAAGUCCAGCCCAAGGACAGCAACUCUGAGGGUCAAGCCUCAUAGGCUAACUGGAUAGAUGUUCUCUGCUUUGCCACCCACUGGAGCCCGACCUGCCCCACUAAUUUAUAUUUCCCCUGGUCUCAUUUUGUACUUUUUAUUUAUAAUUCACCCUUAAAGUGUAUGUGUCUCUUAUAAGCUGCCUCCGAUCUUUCAUGGUAUGAGGUGGUUACCUAAAUAAAGAAGGAGAUUUGGCCUUUGUUUUUAUGUAACAG